UACGGAGGGUGCAAGCGUUACUCGGAAUCACUGGGCGUAAAGAGCGUGUAGGCGGAUUUGUAAGUUGGAAGUGAAAUCCUAUGGCUCAACCAUAGAACUGCUUCCAAAACUGCAUGUCUAGAGUGUGGGAGAGGUAGAUGGAAUUUCUGGUGUAGGGGUAAAAUCCGUAGAGAUCAGAAGGAAUACCGAUUGCGAAGGCGAUCUACUGGAACAUAACUGACGCUGAGACGCGAAAGCGUGGGGAGCAAACAGGAUUAGAUACCCUGGUAGUCCACGCCCUAAACGAUGUACACUAGUUGUUGUGAGGUUCGACCUUGCAGUAAUGCAGUUAACACAGUAAGUGUACCGCCUGGGGAGUACGGUCGCAAGAUUAAAACUCAAAGGAAUAGACGGGGACCCGCACAAGCGGUGGAGCAUGUGGUUUAAUUCGAAGAUACGCGAAGAACCUUACCUGGACUUGACAUUGAAAGAAUCCUGUAGAGAUACGGGAGUGCUAGCUUGCUAGAGCUUGAAAACAGGUGCUGCACGGCUGUCGUCAGCUCGUGUCGUGAGAUGUUGGGUUAAGUCCCGCAACGAGCGCAACCCACGUCGUUAGUUGCUAACAGUUAGGCUGAGAACUCUAACGAGACUGCCUUCGUAAGGAGGAGGAAGGUGUGGACGACGUCAAGUCAUCAUGGCCCUUACGUCCAGGGCUACACACGUGCUACAAUGGGGUAUACAAAGAGCAGCAAUACGGUGACGUGGAGCAAAUCUCAUAAAAUGCCUCCCAGUUCGGAUUGUAGUCUGCAACUCGACUACAUGAAGUUGGAAUCGCUAGUAAUCGUAGAUCAGCAUUGCUACGGUGAAUACGUUCCCGGGUCU
rnacentral:rRNA from 1 species